GACGAACGCUGGCGGCGUGCCUAAUACAUGCAAGUCGAACGCAGUGGGGACGGGUGAGUAACACGUGGGUAACCUCCCAUCAGAGGGGAUAACACUUGGAAACAGGUGCUAAACCGAUACUGAUGGAUGAACCGGCGGGGCAUUAGCUAGUUGGUGAGGUAACGGCUCACCAAGGCCACGAUGCAUAGCCGACAUGAGGGGUGGAUGGGCCACACGGGAACUGAGACACGGCCCAGACGCCUACGGGAGGCGGCAGUAGGGAAUGUGCGGCAAUGGACGAAAGUCUGACCGAGCAACGCCGCGGGGGUGAGGAAGGUUUUCGGAGCGUAAAACUCUGUUGUUAGAGAAGCGGUAUCUAACCAGAAAGCCACGGCUAACUACGUGCCAGCCGCCGCGGUAAUUC
rnacentral:rRNA from 1 species